GGGGGCGAAUUGGAUUCGACGGGGAUAAGUGAGGUUUAACGGAGCAUGCCGAGGUACCAGUAGCUCGUAAAACAGCUGGAAAUAAAAUAAACGCAGACAAUUAUGCUCUGCCCUUAGCUGCCUAAGAACAGCUAAUCCUGGUUAGGUUCUCGCCUGCGGGAUUUAAUCGGGACCAUUUAGCAGGCUGGUCUUUCUUUCACCGCUUGAUGGGAGAGAGAUAAGAAAAAUUCAAGCUGGUUCUCUGAAAAUCCUGCCUCCGGGAGAUUCAGGGGAUGAGAUUAAAACAGAGGAUAAGCAUGUAGUGCCUUAAGCAUCAUAUCUUCGGACAGGGGUUCGAUUCCCCUCGCCUCCAUUA
rnacentral:tmRNA from 1 species